GACGAACGCUGGCGGCGUGCUUAACACAUGCAAGUCGAGCGGUAAGGCCCUUUCGGGGGUACACGAGCGGCGAACGGGUGAGUAACACGUGGGUGACCUGCCCUCAGCUCUGGGAUAAGCCCGGGAAACUGGGUCUAAUACCGGAUAUGACUCCAUGACGCAUGUUGUGGGGUGGAAAGCCUUGUGCGGCUGAGGAUGGGCCCGCGGCCUAUCAGCUUGUUGGUGGGGUGANGGCCUACCAAGGCGACGACGGGUAGCCGGCCUGAGAGGGCGACCGGCCACACUGGGACUGAGAUACGGCCCAGACUCCUACGGGAGGCAGCAGUGGGGAAUCUUGCGCAAUGGGCGAAAGCCUGACGCAGCGACGCCGCGUGAGGGAUGACGGCCUGGUGUAACU
rnacentral:rRNA from 1 species